UACGUAGGAUGCAAGCGUUGUCCGGAAUUACUGGGCGUAAAGGGCGAGCAGGUGGCACUACAAGUCUGAUGUAAAAUCUCCCGGCUUAACUGGGAGGGGCCAUUGGAAACUGUAGAGCUGGAGUGCAGGAGAGGCUAACGGAAUUCCCGGUGUAGUGGUGAAAUUCGUAGAUAUCGGGAGGAACACCAGUGGCGAAGGCGGAGACCUGGGCACAUACUGACGCUGAGGUGCGAAAGCGUGGGGAGCAAACAGG
rnacentral:rRNA from 1 species